rnacentral:lncRNA from 1 species
CGGUACGGGCGUGAGCGUCGGUACGGGCGUGAGCGUCGGUACAGGCUUGCGUGUCUAUUAAUUGUUAUGUCCUUCAAGCAUGAAUUAAGUAACACCUUCUGGUUAUAAUGCCAGCCUGGAAUAUGAAUAUAAGGUUAGCUUCUACAAUUGAUUUGGCAGGAAUCAAAUCCGAGUUCCUCUACUGCGGAUUCGGCAGGGACCAGGUUCAAUGCAUUAGGGAACCACAUUGAAGAAUUUCACAGAAGGAUCUGGAGGCCAGUUGCCUCUAGGAGUUGAAGGCAGCUUCCAGCUUACAGUCAGCAAAUAACUGGGGACCUUGUUCUUACAACCACAGGAAAUGAAUUAGAUCCACA